UUGAGGUAUGGAAGUUACGAUCAUCUUAGUGCUACGACUGUCGUAGGGUGAUGUUGAGGUAUGGGAGUUACGAUCGUCUUAGUGCUACGACUGUCGUAGGGUGAUGUUGAGGUAUGGGAGUUACGGUUAUCUUAGUUCCACGACUGUCGUAGGGUGAUGUUGAGGUAUGGAAGUUACGAUCGUCUUAGUGCUACGACUGUCAUAAGUCCAUGUUAAAGAAUGGGAGUUACGUUCGUCUUGCACCAAGAUUGCUUGGUGGAACAGCUCCCAGUUCAUUUAUACCAAAAUGAGUAUCAUAGUGAAUGUGUCAUUUUAUCACCUACAUAUAACUGGCAAAAGAAACAGAGAUCAUAUACAUUUAUACGUAACUAAAAAAUGAUAAGACCAAACAUUAUUUUUCAAGGACAUUCGACAUGUGCAGUGAUAUUUUCUUUUUCCUAUGUUAGGCAAAAUAUUUUCCCCAGAAGUUUCUGGAAUAAAUAAUUUUUAGCACCCAAAUUCCACGCUUUCUUUUAUAAUGCCUUGUGGUGCCAACAGGAAAGUAACACCUCAGAUUUUCGUUGCCUUUCAAACUGCUGUUUGUCUCAAAUGAUAAAUGAAAUAACCCAGAUUUCCCACAAUUUUUAUGUACCCAAAAAUGGCCAGGCCUAAUUUAAAUUAAAUGUGUAAAAUUUGAAUUUGAAUUUGAAAAAUUAAGAAUCGUACAAAGCUUAUGGGUUACAUCUCGCCCAACUGAAAAAACAAUAUGAUUAAAAUUCAAGACAGUGAUAGGAGUUUAAGGUACGAGAUUAAGGAUAACACUGAUGAAUAGCAGUGUUUGAAAUAACUUUCAAAACCACAGCUGGGCAGGUGACCAUAAGUGUUGCCUGCCAAUCUUCAAAGUUACCUGCCCUUAUUCAGACAUUAUAAAUAUUGACAAACAGCAAAAUAUAAGAGACAAAUCACGUCUUGAUUCAGUUGAAAUAAUGCAAUCAUACUUAAGAAUGUUAUUAUUUAGAUGAAUUGUAAGUAGUCUUAAAAUUUUAUGCCAGACAGCUGGGCCAUUGGAGGAAAAUUUCAUGCAGCCCGACAGAAAAGUUACCAGCCACAGGCAGGAGGGCAAGUAGUUAUUUUGGACACUGAUAAAUAGCAUGAUCUCUGUUUCUUUUGGUAUGAAACCUGACUUGAUUGUGCUGGUGUAACUGAAGGUGUAACAUUGAUGACCAAUAUUCUUUAAUACCGAGUAUGUACACUCCUACAGCAUUUCCACACGUUCCAUGAUUUAUUCUACAAAUGUUAUUUAUUGUGCCCACUGUGCAUUGAUAUGUGGUCCUAUAUUACUUGUCUCAUGCGGGUCAGGGCUCAAUCUAAUGCGUCACAAUUUGCAGAGUUGUGUCCCUUAGGCAUGCCAGCAUCCUGUAAUCAUGGUUUGAUUGACUGGGUGUCCAGUCAUCUCAUGCAUCAAGAUUUGCAGAGUUGUGUCCCUUAGGUAUGCCAGAAUCCUGCAAUCAUGGUUUGAUUGACUGGGUGUCCAGUCAUCUCAUGCAUCAAGAUUUGCAGAGUUGUGUCCCUUAGGCAUGCCAGAAUCCUGUUUUCAUGGUUUGAAUGACUGGGUGUCCAGUCAUCUAAUGCAUCACAAUUUGUUCUGUGGAGUUGUGUCCCUUUGGCGUGCCAGAAUCCUGUAAUCAUGGCUAUGAUUUGCAAUGAUUAUGUUUCUAGGUUUGUCAGCACCAUACAACGUGGUAAACGUCCUACAUAAAGCUGACAUGUGAUACACCUGAAAUAUUGUUAACAACGGCAUUAAACCCAAUUUAAUCUCUCUCCUAUGAGGGUUCUGGAACUAGGGAGGUGUCACAUGUCCAAUGCUGGUCAUACGAGAGGACUAGAUUGUGUAUUUGAUGGGCACAAUGGCUUUGAUGUCCAUCUGUCAGCUGGAUGGAUUGUCGUGUAUUUGGUCGGAUUGUUCUUCACACUAUCGACCACUGGUUUGGCUGUUUCAAGCUCACUUGCAGACAUGAUAUGGCCUUAAUAUGGACUUUGCCACAAUAGUCCAGCCACAAUAAUGUGCAUCUUUAUGAUGCAUCAAAACACUACAUCAUCCCAGUCAGGGGAUAAGUUUGCACUCAACUUUUGUUCUCGGCUGCCUGGGCAGUAACCAAUCAAAGCUGUCUGUGAGGUGUGAAGUCACAUUACCAUCUCAUCCUACCAGGUACCCAUUCACUGCUGGCAUAUUUGGAAUUAUGUCACUUGUCUGAGGAGACACCACGUAUUACAUGUGCUUGAGUGUUCAGUGACCGAAGCCCAAGAAACUCCACGUAGUCAAGCUGCCCAGUGUGGUCAAAUAUUCAGCUACUCUCUGCGACCCGUGUUGGCUGAUAUAAUUUGUUUAAUCUCAGUCUCGAAGAAUUGGGCCGUCUGCUAGCCUAGUGGUUAAAGCGUUCGCUUGUCACGCCGAAGACCCGGGUUCGAUUCCCGACAUGGGUACAAUGUGUGAAGCCCAUUUCUGGUGUCCCCCGCCGUGAUAUUGCUGGAAAAUUGCUAAAAGCGAUGUAAAACCAUACUUACUGACUGACUGACAGGACCACGGGACACAGGACACAAUUAGCUGUAAAAUUGCUGAUGCGACAUUUAGCAAUAAUCAUUCACACACUAACUAGGACCUGGCCUGUCAUUUAUAAUAUUCAGGACAUAUAUGGUAAGCAGUGACAUAUAAUCAACAUAUAUAUCAUCCAAGAAAUACUUAUAUUUGAAAUGGAUUUCCACAUAAUAUGUUUGGAGUAAGGAAUUUCUCUGUAAAUAUUUCCCAAUAUUUUGAAAGACAAAGUUGACCUGAGGAUUUCAGCUUCUGUAUUCUCCAAAGCAACAUUUCGGACCAGAUGCUGGAUAGAUCAUUAACAAGAAAGAUAACGGAACCAGCAUCUGUACCGAAAACCUCGCGUUGAAAGAAUAAUGAAGUUAAAAUCCAUGUAAGGCGUCUAUGUUUGUUGUAAGAGGCGACUAACGGGAUCGGGUGGUCAGGCUCACUGACUUGGUUGAUGCAAGUCAUCGUAUCCCAAUUGCGUGGAUCGAUGCUCAUGAUAUCAAUCACUGGAUUGUCUGGUCCAGACUCCAUAAUUUACAGACCGCCGUCAUAUAGCUGGAAUAUUGCUGAGUGAGGGCUUAAACAACAAACAAACCAUCGAACAAAUAAUCCAUAUGUAAACUCUUUGUUGACACCAGAGCUUUUAUAAUGUCACUUUUAUAAAGAUAUUUUGCCACUUGUGUACCAUCAAGUAACCAUGGAGACACUGUGUACCGGUACAUGUCCGUAUCAUCCCAACUGGAACCACCACACUGCUACUUAAUGCCUCUUCAGAUGGAAGAGUCCAUUGUUUGCUUGCACCAUAAUGUUUGAAGAUGCCAUAUUUGGUCCUGUCUGUACAUUAGAUGGAAGAGUCCAUUGUUUGCUUGGCCCAUAAUGUUUAAAGAUGCCAUAUUUUGUCCUGUCUGUACAUUAGAUGGAAGAGUCCAUUGUUUGCCUGGCCCAUGACUUUUAAAGAUGCCAUAUUUGUCUGUGUAGCUGUUACCCUUGUCUGUUGAGCGAGUCGCUGUAUUUUAAUGUUGGGAGAGAGGCGUCCGAGUGCUUCACACCGUUUUACCAUUGUCAAAAUACAAUCACUGCCUUUUUAAACCCUGGUCUAUCACGACUUCUUGGAACCUGCUCCACAAAGUGACCAUGGCAUUGUGGCGUCUGUAACCAUGGUAACAUGAUUCCAUGGUGACAUGAGGUUACAUCUGCUGAAAACAUGGCAGCACGAGGUAAAACCUUCUGUGACCAUGGUAUCUUUAAGUUGUCAUUAACCAUGGUAACGCAAGUUUAUGCCAGCCAUUACACAAAUCAUAGUCAUGACAUUAAGAUUUUGUGUAACCAUGGUAACACUUAAGUUAAGCUCUUCAUGACCAUGACCAUGGUUAUGCAAUUUUAAGCAUUGUGUUAGCAUGAGGUGAGACCUUGCAUAACCAUGUGGUCCAUAUAUGUUUCUUCAUAGACAUGUUUCUUUGUGGAAUAGAUUCCGGAAAUAUUCCUUUCUAUGCAAGAUUUUGUCAACAAUUGUACAUUAUGGCAAGCAUCACUGCCAAGAAUUUAAUUAUUACUGAAUGUCUCAUUCCACCUUUAAGAUAACUGAUCUAUAUUUGCCAUGGUAUUCUCACAUGAUCAUUUGUUUUAUGACAGAAGUUGAUUUUAUAUUUGGGAUGAUUGUACAGAGUUUGUACUGGGGAGUCCUCCAUGCCUGUCCACGGAGGCAGUGUAAAUGGGGAGUCCUCCAUGCCUGUCCACGGAGGCAGUGUAAAUGGGGAUACCUUGCAUUGUAUAUCCGGGGAAGAAUAGGUCUUCAGCAACCCAUUCUUGCUGUAAAAGGCGACUAUGCUUGUCGUAAGAGGCGACUAACGGGAUCCGGUGGUCAGGCUAGCUGACUUGGUUGAAGCAUGUCAUCGAUCCCAAUUGCGUGGAUCAAUGCUCAUAAUGUCAAUCACUGGAUUGUCUGGUCCAGACUUGAUUAUUUACAGACGCUAUCAUAUAGCUGGAAUAUCGCUGAGUGUGGCGUAAAACAACCAACCAACCAAGCAUUGGAUAUCAUGCGCCUUAUCUGCCUGUUUCACAAGAGGAUCUUAGCCCUAGGACGAUCAGUGAGUGUAAAAAAACGGGAGUUAGGACCGACUUACCGCUAAGAUCGCUCUGUGCAACUGUGUUGUGUCUGUGCAGUGUUGGCAUAUAUUUAACAUGAAAGUCAGGAAGUCUUUGUCAUAACUCUUCUGUUAUCAGUAAAGAAUUCCGAGGUUCCUAUGUUCAAGUCUCACAGAAGCAAAUACCGUAUUCGACGUAAUAAGCGGCCCGCUCUAAUAAGCGCCCACGGCGAUAUUUGCUAAUAUAUUUGGCUAGUGAACUAUCCCAAUUAGCAGCCCUUCCGAUUGAUCAAUGUACACAAGACCUAUUUAUUUGUGUAUAAUACGCACUCGUGUGUUAUAUGCACCCUUAACUAUGGGCAAUUAAAUUCUGGAAAAAUAUAUCUGUCGUAUAUAAACAUUUCAGGCUGUCAGCAUAAACCACGAAAUUUAUCUUUCAACUCUAAUUUUUGUCACCAAAAUGAUAUUCUAAUAAGAGCACCCUAUUUCUAAUUUUGAGAGCGCCCUGGGCACUUAUUACGUCGAAUACGGUACUCUUUCCUAGUGAUUCUGCUGGAAACAAAGGACAUUUUCAUGAUGUCAAAUUUCGACUUUUCUGUGUAAUUACCAAAGUGAGGGAACAAAAUUAGGACAUGUUGGAAGAUAGUGUCAAAGAAAAUGAACCAAUCCUUAGUCUCAAAUACUGUAGUAUACCCCGACAAGAGAAUCAAUGCCCACACCAUCGACCACCGAUUUGUUUGUUGAUCCUGUAACCAUGGUAACUGCUAUAUGUUUUUGUACUAGUGCUUACCUAAUUAACACAUUCAGCAUUGCAGGGUUUGCUUUGUACACAGAUGGUCUGGGUUUGAUUCUCACGGUGGGCAGAUUGGGAAGCUACUGAUGGUUUAGCUGUGCUGAUGUGAGAACGGACUUGAUGUGAAAAGGUGAUCUUUUCACUCAGUGGUAAUUAAACUCUUGCAGUAUGUGACAAAUGUUGCAAUGGUUUUUAAUGGAGUAUUUGUCUGUUGUGUUGCACUUGAGACGAAAGUUAGGCAAUGUGUUUGUAUCAUAGUGUGUACAGGGUUUUCUCAACUGUUGCUUUGUUUCCAUGGAAACCACAGUUUUCAUGUUCCUGUGAUCUGAAUCUGCCUUGACAAUAAAUGUGAUCUUUUCA